rnacentral:rRNA from 1 species
ACUCCUACGGGAGGCAGCAGUAGGAAUCUUCCGCAAUGGGCGAAAGCCUGACGGAGCAACGCCGCGUGAGUGAUGAAGGUCUUCGGAUCGUAAAACUCUGUUAUUAGGGAAGAACAAAUGUGUAAGUAACUAUGCACGUCUUGACGGUACCUAAUCAGAAAGCCACGGCUAACUACGUGCCAGCAGCCGCGGUAAUACGUAGGUGGCAAGCGUUAUCCGGAAUUAUUGGGCGUAAAGCGCGCGUAGGCGGUUUCUUAAGUCUGAUGUGAAAGCCCACGGCUCAACCGUGGAGGGUCAUUGGAAACUGGGAAACUUGAGUGCAGAAGAGGAAAGUGGAAUUCCAUGUGUAGCGGUGAAAUGCGCAGAGAUAUGGAGGAACACCAGUGGCGAAGGCGACUUUCUGGUCUGUAACUGACGCUGAUGUGCGAAAGCGUGGGAUCAAACAGGAUUAGAUACCCUGGUAGGCUCUG